GGAGGUUCGUCCGCUGGAGGAGUCUUGAUGACACUGUGGAAGGUCGAACGUUGGAGGAGUCCGGGAUUCAAUUCUGUUGUAGAAGUUCAGACGGAGUCCGACUCUUGUAGGAGUCUGAAAGGAGGCCGCUUAUUGUAGAAGCUCGGUCAAAGACCGAUUGUCAUGGAAACUCGGAUGGAGAUUUCUUAUUAUAGAAGCUCGGAGUAGAGACCCGACUGGUGGAG
rnacentral:lncRNA from 1 species